GAUGCCUGUUCCAUUCCUGGAUUUAUGCUAAAAUAUGAGGGAGAGUGCCAGUGAAUACAUAAAAUCUAUGAGGCUGUCUGUCAGAUUCCAGGUCCCAAGAGGUACCACUUUUUGAAAGCAGCAGAGAACUCAGUAAGUGGUGUUUGCCAAGUACAUUCUGUGGAAAACCUCACUGGUUUAAUGAAGUUAUAGGUGGCAGAGGACAUCUCAGUUUUGCCUGUGUUUGAGGCAUUGUUUCUCAAGAGGGACCUUGGGCCAGUCCAGGGAGCAGCGAAGAGAAUUUCCCGUGCCAGACCUGCAGGAAUAGCCCCUAUGUUGCAACAAUAUGGAGCGAAUUCCCUUCUCUUUCCAUCCCUUGUGCAGAGCCCUGGUGAGUGAGCUGCCCUGCCUGCCCCCUCCAGCCAGGAUAUGAGAAACACACAGAGGAACAGACACCCUGAUAUGAGAGGCCCACA